ensembl:lncRNA
CUCACAUCCCUCCAUGGCUUCUGCUGCAUUCCUGGAUUGUGGGUUUCCCAACCAAGCCUUCUACCUCUUGUCAGCUUCAGCCUCUUGGACUCAACCAAUUUUGCUGUCCUGGAUUUCUCCCUUGUGGACUCUGUUCAACUUCUGUCUGUUUUUGGAUGCUCCCCAGUCUUCAGUCUGCCAGUUUUGUUUCCCCACUAGCUUCUGGGUUCUCCUAGCCUGCCUGGCCUUUAUCUCGGUUUUCCCCUGGUUUUUGUAAGUACAUUGCUGUGUUGUUUGGUUGAGGUUAUUCCUGUUUGGUUUUGCGUUUUUUGUAGGUUUGGUAGUGUAGUUUCUUUUAGUGUUAGUUGUGGUUUAGUUCGUCUGCUGGGGUCUGAUUCACGAAGCAGGUUCAACAAACUGUUGUUGGUUAAAUCAACUCGGAGUGGUUUCCUCCGGAGUUAAGCACGUGCACCACAGCUCUGAAAAGCCAGUAUCAAUGGAGCGCCGAUUCGACGAGUCACCAUGGCAACGGGUAAGCGGAGGACUACACCGUUUGAAUUGGAAAUCUUCAUGCGUUCAUAUAGCGAGUUUGAACACGUUUUUAGAAAGAAGUGCAGCACCUGCAGCUGCAAAAGAGAGGGAGACGGCGUGGGAGAACAUUGCUGCCCGAGUCAAUGUGUGCAAUCCUGUGGGGCAGAGAGGCAAGAAGCAUGAAUCGCUGGACAGACUUGAUGUCAAAUUCUGACAACUUCAUAAUUGUGUUUGUUGAGUUCUGUCAUCUCCGACCGACCGACCGUGCGACUUGUCUGGAUGUACAUUCUGCACAGAACGAUUGCUCAACAACUUUCAAUGCACAAAGUAACGAUAAUGUUACAUAAACAACUCUGUAACAAACUGCUAAACUUAC